GGGAAUCCGGUGCGAAUCCGGAACUGUCCCGCAACGGUGUACUCGUACGCACAUGCCCUUAUGGCCGCAUACGAGCGUCAGUCCGAGGACC
rnacentral:ncRNA from 17 species